GUGGCGAACGGCUGAGUAACACGUGGGCAACCUGCCCUUUGCACUGGGAUAGCCUCGGGAAACCGAGGUUAAUACCGGAUACUCCAUAUUUGUCGCAUGGCGAAUAUGGGAAAGCUCCGGCGGCAAAGGAUGGGCCCGCGGCCUGUUAGCUAGUUGGUGGGGUAGUGGCCUACCAAGGCAAUGAUGGGUAGCCGGGUUGAGAGACCGACCGGCCAGAUUGGGACUGAGACACGGCCCAGACUCCUACGGGAGGCAGCAGAC
rnacentral:rRNA from 1 species